GAUUUUGUAAAUUGUCGAAAAAAAGCGGCAGACAUUCAAAAAACCAGAACGAUUCGGCCUUUUACGGUACUUUUUCCACGAACGUUAAAAUAUUUCAAACGCAUUGCGGAAACCAAAAAUAUGUUAGAACGUUUACUACCGAUCCGUUUGAAAAGAUCCACGCGAGGAUCGUCAGCGAUCCGCUCUCGCUUUUCAAGCGGAAAGGAAUCGUUUCGAACGCAAGUGAACGAGGAUUUACGGUUGAUAUACAAAAAGCAAUUUAUUCAAAAGACAUAUGAGAUAACAAAAAAAAAAAAAAAUAGCACACGUCACGGCCAAACGAAAGGAAGGAGAAAGAGGAAAGGUAGAAGAGAGCACAUGCGUAAAACAAAAUUCAUAGAAAGUACACACUUUUCGAGAUACCAACGAAUAACAGAGGAAACAAUAGCAGGCAAUAGUUUGGGUUCGCUGCGAUCAUUUUUUUUACUUCCGGUUUUCAAAGCACAGGAAACUUUUGGUAGAAAACGACUCAAUCCUCGUUUCUUUUGUACCACGACCAAAACAGAGAAGAAAUAGCCCGUGAUAUAACAAAACAUUAUAUAUCUAUAUAUAGAGAUAUACAUAUAUGUAUGUAUGUACGCACGCAUACGUACAACCAGUGCAACAAACAAAAGAAAAAAGAAAGAAACGCGAACGCGUACGCGAUGUGCUUCCUCGUUCGUGACAAUGUAGCCCGAUCAAACAAUUUCCACUUCCGACGAAAUCCCCACGCCCGUUCUCACCUUUUAGCCCCGGUUUUUAUUUCCACGCGAAAUUUGUUCUCCUCUAGACCGCGAGACGGAAACACACCCAACGAGCACGUAAAACAUUCGAAAUGACAAAGGGGCACAUUGUCGCGUUCCAGG
rnacentral:misc_RNA from 1 species